UACGUAGGUGGCAAGCGUUGUCCGGAAUUAUUGGGCGUAAAGGGCUCGUAGGCGGCCCACUAAGUCCGACGUGAAAUCCCCAGGCUUAACUUGGGAACUGCGUCGGAUACUGGUGGGCUUGAAUCCGGGAGAGGGAUGCGGAAUUCCAGGUGUAGCGGUGAAAUGCGUAGAUAUCUGGAGGAACACCGGUGGCGAAGGCGGCAUCCUGGACCGGCAUUGACGCUGAGUGAGCGAAAGCCAGGGGAGCAAACGGG
rnacentral:rRNA from 1 species